CUCUAGUCUGGUACUGUAAGAAAACAUGAGAGGUGUAGCAUAAGUGGGAGGUAGUUUUUUUAAACUGCCGACAAUGAAAUACCACUACUUUCAUUGUUUCCUUACUUACUCGGUGAGGCGGAGGGCGUCCGUCGGGGUGAUACCACCUCGGCGUGACAUAAACAAUAUAAACAAACUGACCUACAACCCUUUGCAGAAGUAAAAGUGCUACUACAUAAUGCUAGAGGUAUCUCAUCCAUUUGGUAAAAUGAAGACAAUAUCAGAAUGUGUG
rnacentral:ncRNA from 1 species